AUUUGAUGAUGUGGGCAUUUAGCACACAGUUGCUUGAACCUUUCCCAAUAUUCAUACAACGUUCUCCAGUGAACUGUGUUAUGCCACAAAUUUCUUUUCUGAUGUU
rnacentral:snoRNA from 1 species